AGUGAAUAGAUACCCCGGUAGUCCACGCUGUAAACGAUGAUUACUCGAUGUAUGCGACAUAAAUGUAUGCGUCUAAGCGAAAGCGUUAAGUAAUCCACCUGGGGAGUACGAUCGCAAGAUUGAAACUCAAAGGAAUUGACGGGGGCCCGCACAAGCGGAGGAGCAUGUGGUUUAAUUCGAUGAUACGCGAGGAACCUUACCUGGGCUUAAAUGUUUUGUGCUAUCUUGGGAAACCGAGAGUUCCUUCGGGACACAGAGCAAGGUGCUGCAUGGCUGUCGUCAGCUCGUGCCGUGAGGUGUCGGGUUAAGUCCCACAACGAGCGCAACCCCUACUCUUAGUUACCAUCGGGUAAUGCUGGGCACUCUAAGAGAACUGCCGGCGCAAGCCGUGAGGAAGGUGGGGAUGACGUCAAGUCAGCACGGCCCUUACGUCCAGGGCUACACACGUGCUACAAUGGCAAGUACAAAGGGCAGCUACCUGGUGACAGGAUGCUAAUCUCAAAAACUUGUCUCAGUUCGGAUCGAA
rnacentral:rRNA from 1 species